AGUGAACGCUGGCGGUAGGCCUAACACAUGCAAGUCGAACGGCAGCACAGUAAGAGCUUGCUCUUACGGGUGGCGAGUGGCGGACGGGUGAGGAAUACAUCGGAAUCUACUUUUUCGUGGGGGAUAACGUAGGGAAACUUACGCUAAUACCGCAUACGACCUACGGGUGAAAGCAGGGGAUCUUCGGACCUUGCGCGAUUGAAUGAGCCGAUGUCGGAUUAGCUAGUUGGCGGGGUAAAGGCCCACCAAGGCGACGAUCCGUAGCUGGUCUGAGAGGAUGAUCAGCCACACUGGAACUGAGACACGGUCCAGACUCCUACGGGAGGCAGCAGUGGGGAAUAUUGGACAAUGGGCGCAAGCCUGAUCCAGCCAUACCGCGUGGGUGAAGAAGGCCUUCGGGUUGUAAAGCCCUUUUGUUGGGAAAGAAAAGCAGCAGGUUAAUACCCCGCUGUUCUGACGGUACCCAAAGAAUAAGCACCGGCUAAUUUCGCG
rnacentral:rRNA from 1 species